rnacentral:rRNA from 1 species
GAUUAACGCUAGCGGCAGGCAUAAUACAUGCAAGUUGAACGGCAGCACAGGUAGCACUACUGGGUGGCGAGUGGCGCACGGGUGCGUAACACGUAUGCAACCUACCCUAUACAGGCGAAUAACCUUUAGAAAUGAGGGCUAAUACGCCGUAGUAUUACAGAUGGGCAUCUAUUUGUAAUUAAAGAUUUAUCGGUAUAGGAUGGGCAUGCGUCCCAUUAGUUAGUUGGUAAGGUAACGGCUUACCAAGACGAUGAUGGGUAGGGGAUCUGAGAGGACUUACCCCCACACUGGUACUGAGACACGGACCAGACUACUACGGGAGGCAGCAGUAAGGAAUAUUGGGCAAUGGCCGCGAGGCUGACCCAGCCAUGCCGCGUGCAGGAAGACGGCCUUAUGGGUUGUAAACUGCUUUUAUACGGGAAUAAUAGAGUGUACGCGUACAUUUAUGAAAGUAUCGUAUGAAUAAGCAUCGGCUAACUCCGUG